AGAAUCAACGCUGGCGGCGUGCCUAACACAUGCAAGUCGAACGCGAAAGUGGAGCAAUCCAUUAGUAGAGUGGCAAACGGGUGAGUAACACGUGGGCGACCUACCUCAGAGUGGGGGAUAACCUUCCGAAAGGAGGGCUAAUACCGCAUGACAUCCCGUGUUUGGAUACACGGAGAUCAAAGCCGGGAUCGCAAGACCUGGCGCUUGGAGAGGGGCCCGCGUCCGAUUAGCUAGUUGGUGAGGUAACGGCUCACCAAGGCUCCGAU
rnacentral:rRNA from 1 species